GAUGAAGAACGUAGCGAAAUGCGAUACUUGGUGUGAAUUGCAGAAUCCCGUGAACCAUCGAGUCUUUGAACGCAAGUUGCGCCCGAAGCCACUAGGCCGAGGGCACGCCUGCCUGGGCGUCACACGUCGUUGCCCCCCCAUCUACUCCUUCGGGAUUGCGGGGGGGCGGAUGAUGGCCUCCCGUGCGCCUAGCCGCGCGGUUGGCAUAAAUACCAAGUCCUCGGCGACGCACGCCACGACAAUCGGUGGUUGCGAAACCUCGGUUGCCCGUCGUGUGCGUUCGUCGCGCAUCGAGGGCUCGAAAAAAUGCUCGGCUCCGGCUUGGCUUUCAACGCGACCCCAGGUCAGGCGGGGUUACCCGCUGAAUUUAAGCAUAUCAAUAAGCGGAGGA
rnacentral:misc_RNA from 1 species